UUCCCACCAAGAGGCUGCCUUAUUUCAGGACGCCUUCCUGCAUUUCCUAGGGUGGUGCACCUUCUGUGAAAGAUUCUGUGACAGAAAGCCUGAAGUCCACAGUCUCCCCUCCGUGUCUCACCCACAGCUCUCUCACAAUCAAAAAAUCAGUCAGUUUUCACUGUCGUCAACCCUUCAAGGAUCCAAAAAAAGAAAACUGCUUUCCUUGAAUUCAUCUACUUGGGAUAUCCUGAAGGUGGCUCAGUGGAUAGCGCUCCAGACUGGCAGUCAGGAAGAUCUGAAGUCCAGCCACAGUCACUUACUAGAUUCUGGGCAAGUCAGUUAACUCUGUUUGCCUCAGUUUCCCCAUCUGUAAAAUGAGCCGGAGAAGAAAUGGAAAACCA